GGCGAACGCUGGCGGCGUGCUUAACACAUGCAAGUCGAACGGAAAGGCCUCUUUCGGGGGGUACUCGAGUGGCGAACGGGUGAGUAACACGUGAGUAACCUGCCCUUGACUUUGGGAUAACUUCAGGAAACUGGGGCUAAUACCGGAUAGGAGCUCCUGCUGCAUGGUGGGGGUUGGAAAGUUUCGGCGGUUGGGGAUGGACUCGCGGCUUAUCAGCUUGUUGGUGGGGUAGUGGCUUACCAAGGCUUUGACGGGUAGCCGGCCUGAGAGGGUGACCGGCCACAUUGGGACUGAGAUACGGCCCAGACUCCUACGGGAGGCAGCAGUGGGGAAUAUUGCACAAUGGGUGGAAGCCUGACGCAGCAACGCCGCGUGCGGGAUGACGGCCUUCGGGUUGUAAACCGCUUUCGCCUGUGACGAAGCGUGAGUGGCGGUAAUGGGUAAAGAAGCACCGGCUAACUACGUG
rnacentral:rRNA from 1 species